ACCGUAACUGAUGCUUUUCAUCGUCUUUUUCACCGAUGAGAAGGAUCAUUACGUGCA
rnacentral:pre_miRNA from 1 species